UUUUUUUUUUUUUUCAAGGUAUACAUGAAGAGUCGAUGCUAUGCGAGAAUACGCCUUUCAAAGUCAGUCCCUGUUGACGUGGGAUAACAGCGGUUUGCGGCCCCAAGGCUGGUGCCCUACUUACUUACACAUCUGAGACUUGAGGAAUCGAAUGCCCUGUUGGAGGAAGGAACUUCUUUCCACGAUAUCUUAUAAUCGAAGAAAUGCUACAUCAGACUCAAGAAAACAACUUGGGUUCGUUUGAUGUAACUUUGGAGGCCCCUGAGACUCUCCUUAGCAGUGCAGAGAAUCUCUCUUGGGAAAGAGCUAGAAGCAAGAAAGACAGAGUAAGAAAGCGAAGGGGCAUUAAACGCCACUGCUGCGGAUAACUUCACACUAACCCACUCGUACAAGCAACUACAUCAAUCAAGACGUGAACCUCUCGCCGUUGGGAUAAGAUAAAGACCAUUUACAAGGCCUGCUUCUGUCCCAUUCAGUGGAGAAAAUCCUGAUUCAAUUACAUCAAUAGUAAGUAUACCGCCAGGCCGUACCACCCAAAGCCACACGACCAGGCCGUGUGAUGAAGAACAUGAAGAGCGUUUUAGUUUCAAAUUUCCAAAAUGGGUUAAAAUUAUAAAUUUAAUAUGUAUUUAGAAAUUUUUUUAGAUUUUAA
rnacentral:misc_RNA from 1 species